AGCAGCGUGGCUCAGUGGACAGAGCCCGGGUUUAGGAGUCAGAGGUCAUGGGUUCAAAUCCCAGCUCUGCCA
rfam:Ornithorhynchus anatinus chromosome 7, whole genome shotgun sequence.